rnacentral:rRNA from 1 species
AGUGAACGCUGGCGGUAUGCCUAACACAUGCAAGUCGAACGGCAGCACAGUAAGAGCUUGCUCUUACGGGUGGCGAGUGGCGGACGGGUGAGGAAUACAUCGGAAUCUACUUUUUCGUGGGGGAUAACGUAGGGAAACUUACGCUAAUACCGCAUACGACCUACGGGUGAAAGCAGGGGAUCUUCUGACCUUGCGCGAUUGAAUGAGCCGAUGUCGGAUUAGCUAGUUGGCGGGGUAAAGGCCCACCAAGGCGACGAUCCGUAGCUGGUCUGAGAGGAUGAUCAGCCACACUGGAACUGAGACACGGUCCAGACUCCUACGGGAGGCAGCAGUGGGGAAUAUUGGAAAAUGGGAGCAAGGCUGAUCCAGCCAUACCGCGUGGGUGAAGAAGGCCUUCGGGUUGUAGCCCUUUUGUUGGGAAAGAAAAGCAGCAGGUUAAUACCCCGCUGUUCUGACGGUACCCAAAGAAUAAGCACCGGCUAACUUCGUG